rnacentral:rRNA from 1 species
CCCUUAGAUGUCCUGGGCCGCACGCGCGUUACACUGAUGCAUUCAACGAGCUUAUAACCUUGGCCGAGAGGCCUGGGCAAUCUUGUUAACGUGCAUCGUGAUAGGGAUAGAUUAUUGAAAUUAUUAAUCUUGAACGAGGAAUUCCUAGUAAACGCAGAUCAUCAAUCUGCAUUGAUUACGUCCCUGCCCUUUGUACACACCGCCCGUCGCACCUACCGAUUGGAUGGUCCGGUGAAGCCUCGGGAUUGUGGUUCUUGCCGCUUUAUUGUGGCGUGACCGCGAGAACUUGUCUAAACCUUAUCAUCUAGAGGAAGGUGAAGUCGUNACA